GACGAACGCUGGCGGCGUGCUUAACACAUGCAAGUCGAACGGAAAGGCCCUGCUUUUGUGGGGUGCUCGAGUGGCGAACGGGUGAGUAACACGUGAGUAACCUGCCCUUGACUUUGGGAUAACUUCAGGAAACUGGGGCUAAUACCGGAUAGGAGCUCCUGCUGCAUGGUGGGGGUUGGAAAGUUUCGGCGGUUGGGGAUGGACUCGCGGCUUAUCAGCUUGGUGGUGGGGUAGGGGCUUACCAAGGCCUUGACGGGUAGCCGGCCUGGGAGGGUGACCGGCGACACUGGGACUGGGCUACGGCCCAGAGUCCUACGGGAGGCAGCAGUGGGGAAGGUUGCACAAUGGGCGGAAGCCUGAUGCAGCAACGCCGAGUGCGGGAUGACGGCAUUCGGGUUGUAAACCGCUUUCGCCUGUGACGAAGCGUGAGUGACGGUAAUGGGUAAAGAAGCACCGGCUAACUACGUG
rnacentral:rRNA from 1 species